ensembl:lncRNA
AUGAUCCCGCCAAGCAUGGACCCAGCGGUCUCUGAGGAGAGGCUUCGGAGGGAGGUAAUGGACAAGGUUUAUAGACUCUGUGAGCUAUGGUGGGAGAAGGAGGGGUUGCGUCGCGCCGUGGAGAAGCGGCUGCAGGAGACGCUGUUUAAAUUCCCCUGGCUGGUGGACUCACUUAAUUCAGUUGUCCUGGACUUUCUUCUCUCUACCCUCCACCUCCACUCUCCUACUCAGGCUGCCCACCAGCCCGGCGAGCUGGGGGAUUCGCAGCCUGAUACGCCGGCCCCGACGUCUACCCGGAAACGACGUUUGCGCCGCCGGCGUUCCUCACCGCAGCCGACUUCCCGGACAUCUCAAGAGCCGGCUGUGGUGAGUAAUGAGGACACUUUUCCAUUUCUCACCCCAUCUGCUUCUUUGUUUAUAGUGGAUGGGGACACCGCUGACGCUGCUGUAAGCCAGCCAACAGUACAGCUAGCAUCACCUCAUUCAGCGAUCUCCUCACCGCUCACCUCUUCACCAUCUGUAGCAAUGCCACCAGCUACAACGCCGCCCGAGCGGGAGCUCAGCGAGCCGGAGGAGCUCGCGCCGCCCGAGCGGGAGCGCAGCGAGCCGGAGGAGCUCGCGCCGCCCGAGCCGGAGCAGGAGCUCGGAGAGCGGGAGGAGCCCGCACCGCCAGCUGCGGAGCCCUGCGAGCCGGAGCAGGAGCUCGGAGAGCGGGAGGAGCCCGCACCGCCAGCUGCGGAGCCCUGCGAGCCGGAGCAGGGGCUCGGAGAGCGGGAGGAGCCCGCACCGCCAGCUGCGGAGCCCUGCGAGCCGGAGCCGGAGCUCGGAGAGCGGGAGCAAGAGCCGGAGCCGGAGCUCGAGGAGCAAGAGCCGGAGCCGGAGCUCGAGGAGCAAGAGCCGGAGCUCGAGGAGCAAGAGCCGGAGCUCGAGGAGCCGGAGCCGGAGCUCGAGGAGCAAGAGCCGGAGCUCGAGGAGCCGGAGCCGGAGCUCGAGGAGCAAGAGCCGGAGCCGGAGCUCGAGGAGCAAGAGCCGGAGCCAGAGCUCGAGGAGCAAGAGCAGGAGCCACCAGCUGAGGAGCCAGCGCCGCUGCUGGACCUCGAGGAGCCGCAGGGACUGGCGUUGCCAGCAGAGGAGCUCAGCGAGCCUGUGGAGCCCGCGUUGCCACCGGAGGAGCUCGGAGGUCUGGAGGGACCCACUCAGCUGGAACUGGAGGUCAGGGUGUCAGAGGGACCUCCACGUCUGGCGCGCCCUCCACGCCGUCCACGUCUAGCGCUCUCUCCACGCCAUCGACGUCCAGCACGUCCACGUCAGCGACCAGCGCUUCAUAGGCCACGUGCCACUCCUCGCUGUUGCUCAUCGGAGCAACGUCGUCGCCGCCACUGGACCCGGGACAAGCCGCCGGAGGAGCAGCAGCGCCGCCGCCGCCGCCACUGGACCCGGGGCAUGCCGCCGGAGGGGCAGCAGCGCCACCGCCGCCGCCACUGGAGCCGGGGCAAGCCGCCGGAGGGGCAGCAGCGCCGCCGGCACUGGAGCCGGGGCAAGCCGCCGGAACAGUUUCAUCGGGGCUGCCGGACCCAUGGCCGCCCGCCGGAGCUGCAGCGUUGUCUCCAAGGGGGUAGAGGUAGGCCGCCUGAACUGUCUUGCCGCCACCGCCUGACCCACAGCAGGUCCCGCUGGUCUUGCCGUCCUUUGGGUCGGCCUCCAGAACUGUUUUCGGCCACUGGACCGGGGGGUUGGACUGUCGAACUGUGUUUUUCGUUUUUGUUGAUUAGUGGUGUUGUCGGAGAGGUUUUGGGUCCCUCCGUCCUGGACCCCCACCGCCCGCCCUGGGUUGGUUUUCCUGUUUUUGCUUUUUGUGUUUUCUUUUGGGGUCGUCGGGAGCCGACCCUUAGAGGGGGGGUACUGUCAGGGUCCUGGGUCUGA